ACUUUCUGCAGGGCCUGUGCGGAGAUCCACUGUCUUGUGGCUGCCUGAGACAUGGCUUCUAUUUAAAAACAACAACUUCAUCUGCAGGUCCUGCCAGAGCAAGCUUUGCAGCUGCAGAUGCUGCUCACACACCCCGAGGAAGAAAAAGAAUGCCUCCUGCCAGCAAUCUGUGAGCAAUCUUGAAUCCUGCCACCUUGCUCCCAGCCACUGAGUCCAACUAUGAACUGGAGCAUAAUUGUUUAGAAAUUCUUGAUGCAGUCUAUUCCAGCAGACCAGAUCUGUCAGAUCAUCUGAUGGCCACUCCGGACUGGGAGCUAUACACUGACUGAAGCAGUUUCACAGAAGGAGGACAACGCCAGGCCAGGUAUGCUCCAGUGACCCUAGACAAAGUAGUAGAAGCCUAUGUCCCCGCUGCUGGUACUUCAGCACAAAAAGCUGAAUGGAUUGCUCUCAUCAGGGCCUUAAAACAGUCUCAAGAGAAAUGGGUAAACAUUUACACCUACUCCAAGUAUGCCUUCUUGGUAGUGUAUGCCCGUGGGGUCAUUCAGAAAGAAAGGGGAUUCUUAACCUCAAGAAAUAAAGACAUUAAACACCUGCUGGAAAUUUUAGCUUUGUCAGAGGCAGUUGUUCUGCCAACUCAAGUUGCUAUUAUGCACUGCCAAGGCCACCAAAAGGAUGACUCCCCAAUAACCAAAGGGAAUCAAGUGGCUGAUAAAGCUGCAAAGCAGGCCACUCAAGAAACAUAUUUACUUGGGACCUUAAUACUCCAUUUAAACUUGUCAGAAUUUAAACUCCACUACACUGAAUGAAAUGAAGAAUGCACACAUGAGUGGACAUUGACCAACACAGACCCUUGUUCCUCAUGGAAAGCUAACACUCAUGGGAUAUUACUCUCUGAGGCCCUGGUAUACCCAGUCCUGAAAGACCUGCAUGAGGGGACACACUAUGGCAGAGAUGGACUGGCUCACCUGGUGUAGCCAUAUCUCAAAGGGCCACACCUUCAAAAGAUCAUUCAAAAGAUUAUACAAGCAUGUUAUCUAUAUACCCCAAAUGAUUCAAGAACUGCAUGCAACUCUUCCCAGAGGAGGAUACAAUACAAAGGAAUAUGACCAUUCGAGGACUGGCAGGUUGAUUUCACCCAGAUGCCAAAAACACUGGGAUUUAUAAGUACCUACUAGUGUUUGUAGACACAUUUUCUGGAAAGGUUGAAGCUUACCCGAGCAAGAGAUUGAAGCCUAUCCGAACAAGUCUGAGAAAGCUGCAGAAGUAGCUAAGGCUCUGCUAAAAGAAAUCAUUCCUCGAUUUGGACUUCCUUACUCCAUACCAAGCAACAAUAAUCCUUCUUUAAUUUCUGAGAUCACACAAAGGAUAAGCCAAGCAUUACAGAUCAAAUGGAAAUGACACUCUUGUUGGAGGCCACAAUCAACUGGAAAGACUGAAAAGAUGAUCCACAUGCUAAAAAACAAAAACAAAAACAAAAACAAAACAAAACAAACAAACAAAAAAACCAAAAAAAACCCCUGGCAAAACUCUAUCGGGAAACAGAUUUAAAAUGGUAAAGGGUUUUACCUAUUGCCCUGCUAUGGAUUGGGGUAGCACCCUGAAGUGGGCUUAAAUUAAGCCUUUUUGAAAUUGUGUGUGGGAGACCCUUCUGAAGUUCUUGGCCAGGGACCCCACCCUUGGACUUAAUAAAUUAAUCAAGAAUUAAACAAUAUGUACAACAACUAAGACAUAAAUCACUAACCCUGCACAAGUUUGUUCUUUUUGUUCUUUCCAGUUUUAUGUGUCUUACAAAAAAGCCCCUUCACCCUUUUCAUCCAAGGAUAAAGUGCCGCUAAAAUCUUGGUAAAAACAAGGACUGGACCAACAACAGCCAGCCAAAAAGUGGACAGGUCAUUAUGAUGUUUUAUUAACUACUCAUUCAUCUGUUAAGCUGGCUGGAGUCAAACCACGCAUACAUCACAUUUCGGUAAAAAUCGCCCCUCCCCAACCUGACACAGCAGACAAUCAACCUGGUUGGACUUGUGAGCCAACUGGAGAACUGAAGCUACUGCUUAAGAAAAAUCUUUUUGUACUAUAGGAUUAAAUUUCUGUUAUUCUUUAUCAUAAUGAGUAAACUUUUUUGACAUCUGCUAAAACUAGUCUAUUUCUACAGUGGGCAUAACAUUAUGCAGAUAGUCUACACUAAGAUGCUUGCUGGGUAUGUGGAUUGCUACCCAUCUCUAGCACUUCUGGGCUACUUUAGUGAGUAUCACCCCUGCAGGGGACUGAUUAGAUACAUUUACAAACGUAUAUGAAAAACUGUUCAUGGGAAAAUCAGGACCUUGGUAACUUAAGGUAAUAUUUUUUAAAAAUGGCCUGGCAUUAAUAUAACGCUUCAGAAUCCAGAUCCUGGAAAACUCUUCAUUAUAACCGGACUAUCCAAAGGACCUCUGAGUAUGCAAUCCCUCUCUUAAAGGAGUUUUCCUAGAUGGCCCCCAAGAUUUUGGCUACUAAUAACCAUUACACGGUCCCAACUCCCAUGACUACCUGGAUGGUGACAAAGACGAAUUAUCUCUUCAUCCUUCUUUCUCACUCUAAAUAUACACAGACAUGCUAUUAGGAGGGAAAACUUUCCCUCUACCAACUUUGGUUCAGUGGGUGGGAGCCUGUGAAUUAACUAUAGACAGGUUAGCAGGGGGAAAGAAAACAAGUUGUAUUCAUAACUUGUGGAAGCAUUCAGAUGAAGAGGCUUGAUGAAGAGCUAGAGACAGAAGUUUAGUUAUCAACUCAUAGGGGAAAAGAAGGAGGGAGAAAUGACUUCUAUAGGAAAACAAAUGACUUUUGGGAAAGACAAAUAGAAGCUUUGGAUAAAGUUUUACACAAUUUUCUUGGAAUAUCUCCUGUCUGGGUGAAGUAAUCCUCACACGGUUAACAAGAAUCCUGGACAAAAAUAUAAUUAUGAGUAAGUGUUAAUCAGGCUACACUUUGACCCACUUCCUUGUAACCAAAACUCACGAACACUAGCUACUGAUAAUUUGCAUUCUCAUUGUUCCCAUAGAUAAGAUCUUUGACAUUAGAAUCAUAAGGCUUUUGUUUAAGAAUUGUUUAUGCAGAUCCUGAAUUCCGGCAGAACAGCUGACACCACCAACUUUAAAGAGCCCAACUGAUGAACUGAUCAGCAUGAGAAUACUGUUUUUUCAUCUCUCUGUCCCAUGACUUCACUCUGCAUUCUUCAACCAAUUAGUGAUCUCUUAUUUCCACCUACUCCAAAUCCUUAAAAACAACAGCCUCAAACUCUUUGAGGAAAUGGAUUUGAGGUUUCCUUCCAUCUUUUGGUUCAGCAGCCCUGCAAUUAAACCUCUUUCUCUGCUGCAACCCAGUGUCUUGGCAUAUUGACAUGCUGUGCACAUCAGGCAAAAGACCUAUUACCAUUACAUGAGGACCCCUCCGGAGGGAGAUAAUGGUGGGGGCAUUUCUGGGAGGCUCUGCUUUAGUCAGGUGAGAGAAGUUCAGGUAAGAUUUCUUUCUGUAUCUGCUGUAAUUCAAAUGUUUUCAGUUUUGUCAGUUUUGCCCUUAAACAUGUGCACACACACACACACACACACACACACACACACUCACACUUCCCUUCUUAAGCAGCUAGCAUCUUCAUAUAUCUCUGCUCCUGUCAUGUGCGUCCAUGUGAAGAGACCACCAAACAGGCUUUGUGUGAGCUAUAAAGCUUUUUAAUCACCUGGGUGCAGGCAGACUGAGUCCGAAAAAGGAGUCAGCAAAGGGAGAUGGGGUGGGGCAGUUUUAUAAGAUUUGGGUAGGUAGUGGAAAAUUACAGUCAAAGUGGGUUAUUCUCUUGCAGGCAGGGGCAGGGGUUACAAGGUGCUCAGUGGGGAGGUUCUGAGACUCAUUGUCUAGGAGAAGGAAUGUCACAAGGUUAAUUGAUCAGUUAAGGUGGGGCAGGAACAAAUCACAAUGGUGGAAUGUCAUCAGUUAAGGCAGGAACUGGCUAUUUUCACUUCUUUUGUGGUUCUUCAGUUGCUUCAGGCCAUCUGGAUGUAUACUUGCAGGCUUGGGCUCAGAGGUCUGACAUUUCCUGUCUUCUUAUAUUAAUAAGAAAAACAAAACAAAAUAGUGGUGAGGUGUUGGAGCGGCAAAAAUUUUGGGGGGUGGUAUGGAGAGAUAAUGGGCAAUGUUUCUCAGGGCUGCUUCAAGUGGGAUUAGGGGCAGCAUGGGAACCUAGGGUGGGAGAGAUUAAACUGAAGAAAGAUUUGGGCAUCAAGGGUGAUAUUGUGGGGUUGUUAGAAGGAGCAUUUGUCAUACAGAAUGAUUGAUGAUGGCCUGAAUGCAGUUUUGUAUGAAUUGAGAAACUGAUCAGAAGACACAAGGUCUAAAUAAGAGAAGGAGAAAAGCAUGUAUUAAAGGACUAAAAAUUGGGAGGGCUCAGGACAUCCAAUUAGAGAGUGCCUAAGGGGGUUCAGCAUAAUUAUUUGCUUGGUUGGUGAGUUUUUGGGCGCUAUCCUUGAGUUUUUUUUAUGUUGUCAUAUACUAGGCCAGAGUGAUUUUGGUAGAAACAACACUCUUCAUUUAAAAAUAUACAGAGUCCCCCUUUUUCAGCAGUGAGUAAGUCAAGGGCAUAUUCCUGUCUUCUUAUAUUAAUAAUAAGAAAAACAAAACAAAAUAGUAGUGAAGUGUUGGUGUCAUGAGGGGAACAGGAAGCUCUUGGGUCCCAUUUGCAAGUUGAUUUUUGGGGGUAAGGAAAACUAGUGUGCAUGUGCCUGUCUAAUUAACAGGUAGACACAUGUAGGGGAGGAGCCACAGGGGAAGAAGAGACCUUGUGUAAGGCGAAACUGGAAAUGUAAAGUGAAAAGAUGAGAAAGAGAAAAACUGGCCAUGAGGGACAGAAGUUGAAACGCCAGCUGCUUGUUUAGCUACCUUAUUAGCAUAAGCAUUGCCCUGAGUGAUGGGAUCUGAUGCCUUUUGUUGGCCUUUACAGUGAAUGGCCUCAGUUUUCUUGGAAGUAGAGCAGCUUUAAGAAGAGGUUUUAUUAAGGAGGCAUUAAUGAUGGAGGACCCUUGUGUAGUGAGGAAACUUCUUUCUGCCCAUAUAACAGCAUGGUGGUGAAGGAUGUGGAAGGCAUACCUGGAAUUGGUAUAGAUAUUGACACGUAGUUCCUUUGCAAGAAUGAGGGCUCGAGUUAAGGCAAUGAUUUCAGCUUGUUGAGAGGUAGCAGAAGGGGGCAGGCCUGUAGCCUCAAUGAUAGAUGUGGAAGAUACUAUAGCAUAGCCUGCCUUUGCCAGUGAUUGGCGAUUGGACCUGGAAGAACUACCAUCAAUAAACCAAGUGUGGUCUGGGUAGGGAACAGGAAAGAGGAAAAUAUGGGGAAAAGGGGAGAAUGCCACGUGGAUUAGAGGGAUACAGUCAUGGGGCUCAGAUGCAGUAUCAGGAAUAAGAUGAGAGGCUGGAUUGAAGUCUGGACUAGGAACAAUGGUAAUUGUGGGAGACUCAACAAAUAGUGAGUACAGUUGAAGGAGCUGGGGCACAGAAAGUAUACGUGUCAAGCGUGAGGAGGAGAAUAGAUUUGGAAAGUUACAGGAACAGUAGAGAGUAAGUGGAGCAUAGCUUGUAAUUUUGAGGGCUUCCAGAAGUAUUAAAGCUGUGGCUGCUGCUGCAUGCACACAUGAGGGCCACCCCAGAAUUGGGAGGUCAAGUUGUUUUGAUAGAAAGGCAGCAGGUCACGGGCCUGGCUCCUGUGUGAGGACUCUGGCAGCACAGCCUUGUAUUUCAGCUGUGUGUAAGGAAAAAGAAUGGGACGAGUCGGGGAGUGCUAGUGUGGAAGCGGUCUCCAGGGCGUUUUUGAGAGAGUGAAAAGAAGAAUGGGGAAAAGACUUAGGGUCCAUGGGAUCAGUUAAGUUGCCCUUUCUGAGCUUGUAAAGUGGUUUCGUCAGGAUAGCGACGCCUGAUAUCCAGAAUCGGAAAUAUCCAACAGUGCCUAAGAAGGAAAGGAGUUGUUGUUUGGUGGUGGGGACUGGGGUUUGAGAGAUCAGCUGGACACAAUCAGCAAGGAGAGCACGUGUGUUUUCAUGAAGAAUUAUGCUGAGAUAGGUAACAGAUGAGGAAGAAAUUUGGGCUUUGGAGGGGGAUACAUGAUAUCCUUUUGAGAACAGAUAUUGGAGGAACAGGAGGGUGUCCCGUUGAGAAGAUUUGUAGGAGGGGCUAUAAAGUAGAAGGUCAUCAAAAUAUUGAAUAAGGUGAGAAGCAGAUGGACAGAAAGAAAGUAGAUCAUGAGAAAGGGCUUGACUGAAGUAAUGGGGGCUGUCCCUGAAGCCUUGUGGCAGUACAGCCCAGGUAAGUUGCUGAGGCUGAUGGGUGUCAGGAUCAGUCCAGGUAAAAGCAAAGAGAGGCUGGGAUGACAGGUGCAGGGGAAUAGUGAAAAAAGCAUCUUUAAGAUCAAGAACAGAAUAGUGAGCUGUGGAGGAAUUUAUUGAGGACAAAAGGGUGUACGGGUUGGGCACCACAGAGUGGAUAGGCAAAACAAUUUGGUUGAUAAGGUGCAGAUCCUGAACUAACCUGUAAGGCUUGUCCAGUUUUUGGACAAGUAAAAUGGGAGAAUUGUAAGGAGAGCUUGUAGGCUUUAAAAGGCCAUGCUGUAACAGGCAAGUGAUAACAGGCUUUAGUCCCCUCAAAGCCUGUUGUGGGAUGGCAUACUGGCAUUGAGAGGAGUAAGGGUGAUUAGGUUUUAAAGGGAUGGUAAGGGGUGCAUGAUCGGUCACCAAGGAAGGAGCACAGGUAUCCUAUACUUGUGGAUUAAGGUAGGGAGACAGAAGAGGAGUAUGUGAACUGGGGAAAAGGGUGGGAAUAGGUGUGACUGUAGCCCAGGAAUAGUCAGGGAAGCAGAUAAUUUAGUUAAAAUGUCUCAACCUAAUAAGGGAGGUGGGCAGGUGGGGAUAACUAAAAAGGAGUGCAUAAAAAAUGUUGUCCAAGUUGGCACCAGAGUUGGGGAGUUUUAAAAGCCUGGCCAUCAAUAUGCACAACAGUUAUGGAGGCAAGAGAAACAGGCCCUUGAAAAGAAGGUAAUGUGGAGUGGGUGGCCUCCAUAUUGAUCAAGAAGGGGAUGGACUUACCCUCCACUGUAAGAGUUACCGAAAGCAUCUGUGAUGGUCCAGGAGGCUUCUGAGAUAAUUGAGCCACGUCAGUCUUCAGCCACUAAGCCAAGAAGAUCUGGGAAGGAGUCAGUCAGAGAGCCUUGGGCCAGAAUUCCAGGGGCUCUGGGAGUGGCUGCUGGGCGAGUUGGACAGUCCGGUUUCCAGUGGGGUCCCGCACAGAUGGGACAUGGCUUAGGAGGAAUCCCGGGCUGCAGGCAUUCCUUGGCCCAGUGGCCAGAUUUCUAGCACUUGAAGCAAGAUCCUGGGGGAGGAGGUCCUGGAGGAACACCUGGCCACUGCAGUUCAGGCAUUUUGAAGUUCUUGUGUGCUGGAGAUGUGGCUGGGGCUUCUCUCAUAGUGGAGGCAAGUAAUUGCAACUCAGAAAUAUGUUGCCACUUGGCUGCCUCUUCUCUAUUAUUGUACACCUUGAAGGCGAGGUUAAUUAAGUCCUGUUGUGGGGUUUGAGGGCCAGAAUCUAAUUUUUGGAGCUUUGUUAAUGUCAGGAGUGGAUUGACUAAUAAAAUGCAUAUUGAGAAUAAGACGGCCUUCUGGCCUCUCUGGGUCUAGGACAGUAAAGUGUCUAAGGGUUGUUGCCAAAUGGGCCAUGAACUGGGCUGGGUUUUUAUAUUUGAUAAAAAAAAAAAAAAAAAAGCCUAAAUGCUAACUCAUUUGGGAGAGGUUGGAUAAAGAAAAAGGAGCAUUAACCUUGACUGUACCUUCAGCUCCAGCCACCUCUUUAAGAGGAAAUUUUUGGGCAGGUUGGGGAGAGCUAGUCAUGGAAUGAAACUGUAAGCUGGACCAGGUGUGAGGAGGGGAGGUGAUAAAAGGAUUAUAGGGUGGGGGAGCAGAGGGUGAGGAAGAAUCAGGACCUGGCUUGGCCUGGCUGGUGAGCAGCAGCCUGGGGAGGAGGGAAGAGGUCAGAUGGGUCUGUAGAAAAGGAGAAUUCAAAGGACUCAGAGCUUGGGGUGGAGACUGAAGAAACAGACAGGAGAGAAAGAAGAAAGAUUUGGGACAAGUCACAUUGGGAGCAGAGACUAGGGAGGGACUGAUGUGUAAAAGAAUGCCUGGAUGUCAGGCACCUCAGACUAUUUCCCCAUUUUUCGACAAAAAUCAUCUAGAUCUUGUAAGAUGGAGAAAUCAAAAGUGCCGUUUUCUGGCCAUUUGGAACCAUUGUUGGGUUUGUAUUAGGGCCAAACGGUAUUGCAGAAGAAAAUAAGGCAUUUAGGUUUUAGGUCAGGUGUGAGUUGAAGAGGUUUUAAGUUCUUGAGAACACAGGCUAAGGGAGAAGAAGGGGGAAUGCAGGGUGGAAGGUUGCCCACAGUGAAGAAGUAAGUUUAAAGAGAAAGGUAGAGACACAGCAAAGGGGGUGGUGAGCAGCCCUGGGCUAUAACGUGGACGAUCAGCCAAAGCAGGCAUCCCGCGAUUGACUUGCCAUCAAGGGAAUGUGGGUGAAUGACCAUGGCAGGUGUCCCCACAGUGAUCAGACACCAAUGGAAUGUGGGUGAAUGAUCAGGGCAGGCAUCCCCACAAUGAUCAGACGCCAAGGGAAGACUAUCUUCCCGAGUCCGUGACUGGUGUCUGAGUUUUGGGUCCAUGGAUAAAAUGCGUCUCCUUUGUCUCUACUAGAGAGGAAAGAGAACUGGAAUUGGAAGGACAGGGAGAUUGAAGGGUAGCAAGAGAGGCUGGAGAAGACAGUGAAAAGACCGCUUACCCAAUUUGAAAUGGGUGAGAUGUUCCUUGGGCUGGUUGGUCUGAGGACCUGAGGUCAUAGGUGGACCUCCUCAUGGAGUGAAGGCGAGGACAGGGGACCAGUCUCCUGAAGGAGUCCCCCUGUUCUGGGUCUUCGGCACUAAAUGCCACACGCGUCCAUGUGAAGAGACCACCAAACAGGCUUUGUGUGAGCAAUAAAGCUUUUUAAUCACCUGGGUGCAGGCAGACUGAGUCCAAAAAAGGAGUCAGCAAAGGGAGAUGGGGUGGGGCAGUUUUAUAGGAUUUGGGUUGGUAGUGGGAAAUUACGGUCAAAGUGGGUUAUUCUCUAGCGGGCAGGGGCGGGGGUCACAAGGUGCUCUGGUGGGGAGCUCCUGAGUCUAAUUGUCCAGGAGAAGGAAUGUCACAAGGCUAAUUGAUCAGUUAAGGUGGGGCAGGAACAAAUCACAGUGGUGGAAUGUCAUCAGUUAAGGCAGGAAUUGGUUAUUUUCACUUCUUUUGUGGUUCUUCAGUUGCUUCAGGCCAUCUGGAUGUAUACGUGCAGGCUUGGGCUCAGAGACCUGACAGCUCCCUAAUUUGCUUCUAAAUAUUCUAAGGGAGAAGGAAGAGCUGUGAGAAUUGUCUUUGAGAGGAAUCAUUCUCUCUGGAGUAAAUGAGACAAAUCUUCUGUGUUGUGGUCAUGGAUCUGAUAGGCAUUAGUCUUUGACCAGAGUUUAUGAGGUUAUUAAGGUGCAUGCAUGUUUAUAAACUAAACAAGAAUUUAAAAGUCAGAGAAAAAAAAUAAUACCAUAGCACAGUCUUCUCAGGUACCUUCGGUUUAGGUCCUUUAUUACAAGGAAAACAUAAAA
rnacentral:lncRNA from 10 species